GUACCCAUGGCCAACACUGAAUCCGGUGAGUGCAAUUAUUCCGCCCCAGAAGGGGGACAUGCACCUGUCCAGCAUUACAACCAGUGAGUGCAGCGUUCCCCUAAGGAAGGGGGGUGUCGUGCCAUGGUCAGCACCGAUCCGGUGAAUGUAGUAUUCCACCUAUAGAAGGGGGUUAUGCACAUGGCUAGCCUGCGGCCAGAGAGCGCAGAAUUCCACUCAGGAAGGGGUUCAUGCCCAUGGCCAGCACCAUAACUGGAAAGGUGAUGUCCUGCCAUAGAACGGGCGGAAGAGGGGGCGCCUACACUUGGCUAGCGCCGUAUCCCGGUAGAUGGCAAGGGUCCGCCUAAAGAGGAGACUUGCAGCCGGUCAGCACCGCAGCCGGGGAGCGCGACAUGCCGCCUACGGAAGGGAAGCAUAGCAUGCAGCCAGCACCACUGUAUCAUGCUGCAGCGUCCUGCGCAGCCAUUCCGUUAUUUAAUAACUCCGCCAUGGAAGCCCUUUUUUUUUUUUUUU